GCGCGCCUGUGUAAACCAUUCCGUCAGCAGCAGCAGGGAUGGACGCGGUGGUCCGACCGGAGACCUCUUCCCUGCCUCCCGCUGAGGCACAGCGUGUUAACACAGAAGACGGCAGUUUCUCCAGUUCUCUGCGGUAGCUUCAGGAGAUGGUGAGACAGCUCCCUCUCCGCCAUCGUGACACCAUCGCGACAUCAUCGCGACAUCAUCGCGACAUCAUCGUGACAUCAUCAUGACACCAUCGUGACAUCAUCGUGACCUCAUCGUGUCAACAUCGUGACAUCAUCGUGAAGUCUUUCAUGACAUCAUCGUGACCUCAUCGUGACACCAUCCUGACAUCAUCAUGACAUCGUGACCUCAUCGUGACAUGUGUUCAACGUUCUGCUCCUCUCCAGGACUACGACCCUCCUAGUGAAGGACAGGUCGGAGGUCAUGACCCCACGCUGACCCUGCUGGCCAGGAUCGACCAGGAGCCCCGCCCCCAACCUGAGGACACACACACACACACACACAUUGUUGUUCCCAACACUAUGAAUGUGUUUACUAUCAAUGUGUCCAUUAUUAGUUCAUCUUAUAAACACUCUCCGAGCUCCGUGUCUUCUGCUCGGCCCCCACGGGCCCCCGUCACGACUCCCCGUCCAGGCACGACUCCGCUCCCUCGCAUUCCUCCAGAUGUUUAAUAGCGUGUGUUCAGACAGCAGCUUAUCUUACCCAGACACGCACUCCGUGAUUUCCUUCCGCGAUUAGAGUUGGGGAGCACAAAACGAACACUUUAACAAUGACAAACGCUGCAUUCAAGAAGAAGCGCACUAAACUAUUGUUAGGUUGGAUGUCAUGAAGGCAGCAUUCGCAAUGGUUGAUGGGAUGAGUAGUUCCUUCACUUGAUUGGAUCUUUACUGAUGACCACGCACAAGGCAACUCAUCAUUGGAUGAUUAUCAUCGAAUGGGCGGGACCAAUACCUUCAACAGGUACAAAUGUGUACCAGUUGUCGUGUGCGUCUGUGUUCAUCAGAGGUCUCCACUCGGAAGGACGAUUUGCUUUUUCUUUCCUAUCAGAAACGCCUGCUGUGUCCAAAGAAGAAGAUGAAUACGUCUGUCCAUUUAGAAUUUAUCCAAAAAAAUCUGAUUAACUUGUCUUGCAUUCUGCAGCACGAUCAAAAAUUUGUUUUGGAUCACUGUGUACAGAACAAGCUAUUAACCUUGAGAGAAUUCCAAGAAAUGACAGAUGAUUCUUCGGCAGCUAUAUUGCGUCUAUUGAUGCAAAAAGGCGAGGAUUGCUGUCAGAAGUUCAUCUCCCUGGUGCUGAAGAACCCCGAGGUUCAGGAAACCUUCCCCAGGCUCAAAGACCUGGACUGGGCCUCCUUGGACUCCCCUCCCCCCCCCGUUCCAGAAAGAACCUCCAUGCCAGGCCAGGGCCCAAGACCGGAGAGGAGAGACGGACCGGGGUUUGGAGGCCAUCAGGCUCCUGGAUCUUCGACCAUGGAGAAUGAUGUCGCCACCCCACAGAGCAUGUCAUGGGGUCUGAGGUGACUGAGCAGCAGCAGACCGGAGCCGUAUGGAUGAACCCUGAUGACUUCCAAAGAAGUUGUGAAGGAGUAAAAGAAGGGGGGAAUAUGUCUGACCAUUCUGUAGAUCUAAAAUAGUAGAACAAGUUUGGCGCUGUUCAAGUUUGGUAAAUACAGAGGAAUUACAGCUGAAGUACUAAGUAAAACCUCCACUAUUACCCAUCAACUCAACUAAGUACCGUGUAGUUGUAACUGUUUUAGGUUGGUAAUAACUCAGAUAUUAUUGUGUACUUCCUAGGAAAUUAGGCAACCAAUUCUUAGAAACGCCUAUUAAUUCAAUUUGCAAUUGUAGUUAUCCAAGGUUUAUGUUGGUGACACCCCAAGUUUAAUGAUGUACUAUCUAGAAAUUAGCAUAGUACUUUCCAAUAAAAUACUACUACCUUUCUUGCAUUGUUAUUAUUCAUAGCUACACCCAUUUAGAAAAGGUUAAUUCGAUUUACCUUAGGAACUAUGGAAUUACUUACCUGGUAACAACCUCUGCAGGAACCGUUUUCCUCUGUCAUGAUACACCUUCUUAAAUACUGGGUACGAAGUCGUUUGUUUCCAUGGUGUUACCACGUUCUUACCAUAUAAUUUGUAUUAGAUGCAUUCCAUUGUCCAUGCAGUAAACUGGAACUUGUACCAUGUACGUUCUGCAACGUUA